rnacentral:rRNA from 1 species
AAAUUGAAGAGUUUGAUCAUGGCUCAGAUUGAACGCUGGCGGCAGGCCUAACACAUGCAAGUCGAACGGUAACAGGAAGCAGCUUGCUGCUUCGCUGACGAGUGGCGGACGGGUGAGUAAUGUCUGGGAAACUGCCUGAUGGAGGGGGAUAACUACUGGAAACGGUGGCUAAUACCGCAUAACGUCGCAAGACCAAAGAGGGGGACCUUCGGGCCUCUUGCCAUCAGAUGUGCCCAGAUGGGAUUAGCUGGUUGGUGAGGUAACGGCUCACCAAGGCGACGAUCCCUAGCUGGUCUGAGAGGAUGACCAGCCACACUGGAACUGAGACACGGUCCAGACUCCUACGGGAGGCAGCAGUGGGGAAUAUUGCACAAUGGGCGCAAGCCUGAUGCAGCCAUGCCGCGUGUAUGAAGAAGGCCUUCGGGUUGUAAAGUACUUUCAGCGGGGAGGAAGGUGUUGUGGUU